GACGAACGCUGGCGGCGCGCUUAACACAUGCAAGUCGAACGGAAAGGCCUGCUUUCCCUUGUGGAUUGCGGGUACUCGAGUGGCUAACGGGUGAGUAACACGUGAGUGAUCUGCCCCCAACUUGGGUAUAAGCCUGGGAAACUGGGUCUAAUUCCCGAUAGGACUGCAGGGUGGUGCCUGUGGUGGCAAACGAUUUUCUAGUGGUUGGGGAUGAGCUCGCGGCUUAUCAGCUUGUUGGUGGGGUAAUGGCCUACCAAGGCGGGGACGGGUAGCCGGCCUGGGGGUGUGGACGGCAGCAUUGGAACGGAGAUACGGCCCCGAAGACUAGGGGCAGCAGGAGUGGGGAAUAAUGCGCCGUGGGCGGAAGCCUGAAGCAGCGACGCUGCGUGGGGGAUGACGGGCUUCGGGUUGUAAGCUCCUUUCGACCGAGAGGAAGCCACCUGGUUGGAGGGGUGGUGACGGUAGUGGUAGAAGAAGCACCGGCUAACUACGUG
rnacentral:rRNA from 1 species